GAUGAACGCUGGCGGCGUGCCUAAUACAUGCCAGUCGAGCGAACAGACGAGGAGCUUGCUCCUCUGACGUUAGCGGCGGACGGGUGAGUAACACGUGGAUAACCUACCUAUAAGACUGGGAUAACUUCGGGAAACCGGAGCUAAUACCGGAUAAUAUAUUGAACCGCAUGGUUCAAUAGUGUAAGACGGUUUUGCUGUCACUUAUAGAUGGAUCCGCGCCGCAUUAGCUAGUUGGUAAGGUAACGGCUUACCAAGGCAACGAUGCGUAGCCGACCUGAGAGGGUGAUCGGCCACACUGGAACUGAGACACGGUCCAGACUCCUACGGGAGGCAGCAGUAGGGAAUCUUCCGCAAUGGGCGAAAGCUUGACGGAGCAACGCCGCGUGAGUGAUGAAGGUCUUCGGAUCGUAAAACUCUGUUAUUAGGGAAGAACAAAUGUGUAAGUAACUAUGCACGUCUUGACGGUACCUAAUCAGAAAGCCACGGCUAACUACGUG
rnacentral:rRNA from 1 species